rnacentral:rRNA from 1 species
UGGGGAAUAUUGCACAAUGGGGGAAACCCUGAUGCAGCGACGCCGCGUGAGCGAUGAAGGCUUUCGAGUCGUAAAGCUCUGUCCUAUGGGAAGAUAAUGACGGUACCAUAGAAGAAAGCCCCGGCUAACUACGUGCCAGCAGCCGCGGUAAUACGUAGGGGGCUAGCGUUGUCCGGAAUCACUGGGCGUAAAGGGUUCGCAGGCGGCAAUGCAAGUCAGAUGUAAAAGGCAAAGGCUCAACCUUUGUAAGCAUCUGAAACUGUAUAGCUUGAGAAGUGUAGAGGCAAGUGGAAUUUUUAGUGUAGCGGUGAAAUGCGUAGAUAUUAAAAAGAAUACCGGUGGCGAAGGCGACUUGCUGGGCACAAUCUGACGCUGAGGAACGAAAGCGUGGGGAGCAAACAGG